CCUACGGGUGGCAGCAGUGGGGAAUAUUGCGCAAUGGGGGAAACCCUGACGCAGCAACGCCGCGUGAAUGAUGAAGGCCUUAGGGUUGUAAAGUUCUGUCUUCUGGGACGAUAAUGACGGUACCAGAGGAGGAAGCCACGGCUAACUACGUGCCAGCAGCCGCGGUAAUACGUAGGUGGCAAGCGUUGUCCGGAUUUACUGGGCGUAAAGGAUGCGUAGGCGGAUAUUUAAGUCAGAUGUGAAAUACCCGGGCUCAACUUGGGUGCUGCAUUUGAAACUGAAUAUCUAGAGUGCGGGAGAGGUAAGUGGAAUUCCUAGUGUAGCGGUGAAAUGCGUAGAGAUUAGGAAGAACACCAGUGGCGAAGGCGACUUACUGGACCGUAACUGACGCUGAGGCAUGAAAGCGUGGGGAGCAAACAGGAUUAGAUACCCUUGUAGUC
rnacentral:rRNA from 1 species